CCUACGGGUGACAGCAGUGGGGGAUAUUGCACAAUGGGGGAAACCCUGAUGCAGCGACGCCGCGUGUGGGAAGACGGUCUUCUGGAUUGUAAACCACUGUCCCCAGGGACGAAAAUGACGGUACCUGGGGAGGAAGCUCCGGCUAACUACGUGCCAGCAGCCGCGGUAAUACGUAGGGAGCAAGCGUUGUCCGGAAUUACUGGGUGUAAAGGGAGCGUAGGCGGGGAUGCAAGUUGGGUGUCAAAACUACCGGCUCAACCGAUAGUCGCACUCAAAACUGCAACUCUUGAGUGAAGUAGAGGCAGGCGGAAUUCCUAGUGUAGCGGGGAAAUGCGUAGAUAUUAGGAGGAACACCAGUGGCGAAGGCGGCCUGCUGGGCUUUUACUGACGCUGAGGCUCGAAAGUGUGGGGAGCAAACAGGAUUAGAUACCCCUGUAGUC
rnacentral:rRNA from 1 species